GACGAACGCUGGCGGCGUGCCUAAUACAUGCAAGUAGAACGCUGAAGGAGGAGCUUGCUUCUCUGGAUGAGUUGCGAACGGGUGAGUAACGCAUAGGUAACCUGCCUGGUAGCGGGGGAUAACUAUUGGAAACGAUAGCUAAUACCGCAUAAUAGUAGAUGUUGCAUGACAUUUGCUUAAAAGGUGCAAUUGCAUCACUACCAGAUGGACCUGCGUUGUAUUAGCUAGUUGGUGGGGUAACGGCUCACCAAGGCGACGAUACAUAGCCGACCUGAGAGGGUGAUCGGCCACACUGGGACUGAGACACGGCCCAGACUCCUACGGGAGGCAGCAGUAGGGAAUCUUCGGCAAUGGACGGAAGUCUGACCGAGCAACGCCGCGUGAGUGAAGAAGGUUUUCGGAUCGUAAAGCUCUGUUGUAAGAGAAGAACGAGUGUGAGAGUGGAAAGUUCACACUGUGACGGUAGCUUACCAGAAAGGGACGGCUAACUACGUG
rnacentral:rRNA from 1 species